rnacentral:rRNA from 1 species
CCUACGGGGGGCUGCAGUGGGGAAUAUUGGACAAUGGGGGGAACCCUGAUCCAGCGACGCCGCGUGAGUGAAGAAGUAUUUCGGUAUGUAAAGCUCUAUCAGCAGGGAAGAAAAUGACGGUACCUGACUGAGAAGCCCAGGCGAACUACGUGCCAGCAGCCUCGGUAAUACGGAGGGGGCAAGCGUUAUCCGGAUUUACUGGGUGUAAAGGGAGCGUAGACGGUGCAGCAAGUCUGAUGUGAAAGGUCGGGGCCCAACCCCGGGACUGCAUUGGAAACUGGUGAACUGGAGUGCAGGAGAGGUAAGCGGAAUUCCUGGUGUAGCGGUGAAAUGCGUAGAUAUUAGGAGGAACACCAGUGGCGAAGGCGGCUUACUGGACUGUAACUGACGUUGAGGCUCGAAAGCGUGGGGAGCAAACAGGAUUAGAUACCCGAGUAGUC